rnacentral:rRNA from 1 species
AUUGAACGCUGGCGGCAGGCCUAACACAUGCAAGUCGAACGGUAACAGGAAGAAGCUUGCUUCUUUGCUGACGAGUGGCGGACGGGUGAGUAAUGUCUGGGAAACUGCCUGAUGGAGGGGGAUAACUACUGGAAACGGUAGCUAAUACCGCAUAACGUCGCAAGACCAAAGAGGGGGACCUUCGGGCCUCUUGCCAUCGGAUGUGCCCAGAUGGCAUUAGCUAGUAGGUGGGGUAACGGCUCACCUAGGCGACGAUCCCUAGCUGGUCUGAGAGGAUGACCAGCCACACUGGAACUGAGACACGGUCCAGACUCCUACGGGAGGCAGCAGUGGGGAAUAUUGCACAAUGGGCGCAAGCCUGAUGCAGCCAUGCCGCGUGUAUGAAGAAGGCCUUCGGGUUGUAAAGUACUUUCAGCGGGGAGGAAGGGAGUAAAGUUAAUACCUUUACUCAUUGACGUUACCCGCAGAAGAAGCACCGGCUAACUCCGUG